UACGUAGGGCGCAAGCGUUAUCCGGAAUUAUUGGGCGUAAAGAGCUCGUAGGCGGUUUGUCGCGUCUGCCGUGAAAGUCCGGGGCUCAACUCCGGAUCUGCGGUGGGUACGGGCAGACUAGAGUGAUGUAGGGGAGACUGGAAUUCCUGGUGUAGCGGUGAAAUGCGCAGAUAUCAGGAGGAACACCGAUGGCGAAGGCAGGUCUCUGGGCAUUAACUGACGCUGAGGAGCUAAAGCAUGGGGAGCUAACAGG
rnacentral:rRNA from 1 species